rnacentral:rRNA from 1 species
UACGUAGGGCGCAAGCGUUAUCCGGAAUUAUUGGGCGUAAAGAGCUCGUAGGCGGUUUGUCGCGUCUGCCGUGAAAGUCCGGGGCUCAACUCCGGAUCUGCGGUGGGUACGGGCAGACUAGAGUGAUGUAGGGGAGACUGGAAUUCCUGGUGUAGCGGUGAAAUGCGCAGAUAUCAGGAGGAACACCGAUGGCGAAGGCAGGUCUCUAGGCCACUACUGACGCUGAGAAGCGAAAGCAUGGGGAGCGAACAGG